UGCCACACCGGCAUGAGGCGGAGCUAAGUCUCUCCAGGUUAUUGUUGCUCACCUUUCAGCCCAUCCCUUCAGGGGUCGCCACAGCAAAUCAGCUUUCACUGAUCCGCACAGGUGGUUUGGCAGAGUUUUUUAUGCCGGAUGCCCUUCCUUAACACAAUCCUUUAUUUUAUCUGGGAUGGGGACCGGCACAACUGAAGCGAAACGGGAAACAAGCCCUGGUUUCCCGUUCCAACCUGCUGCACACGCCCCUUUGACUCUUGCCACCUUCUGUCCCUCAUCUGUCAGUCCGUCCAUCACCACGGCACACAAGAAGGCGCUCGAGGCUGAUCCUUGAUGCAGUCCCCCCUCCACCUUGGUCUUCUCCUGCAGAACAUGUUCUCCAGCUCUCAUCCAUGUCCUGAACAUCUCCAACGUUCUUCUCUGCUGCCCUGGUCUUUCUCAUCCAAACCACAGCUCCUCUCUCUGGAUGCUAUCGUAGACUUUCUCUGGAUCUACAAAGACUCAAUGUAGACAAUAAAUCGCAAAUUUAUCGUUUUUCGCGAUAUCAAGCUGUGCAAUAUGCAUAUCACUAAAGUCAUUGAAAGUUGUGAUAAAUGGUAAUUUUGACUGCGAUGAAUCCAUCUUAUGGCAGCUUGAAGUAUUCAACAAAUCAAAAAAAUCCAGUUGACCAAUUAGAUGGACGCCUUCACAUUGUUGACCAAUCGGAUGGAGCUACUUUAUGUAAGAUGUUCGCCUCCCAUGUAGACGAGGGUCAUUUGGAGUAUAAUUUAAGAAACCUUGGAUAAAUCCUGCAGUUAAGACACCACUCCGGCCUAAAGAAACAAUAAAACUGCCCUGAAGGGGAAGAAAAAGACGAUACUACAAUCGGAAGACCCAAAAAGCAGACGGACCAAUGGGAGUCCCAGGUAAGAAAUUGUAAGCAGAACUAUUCCAGACUCUACAAACACCCAAGUCCCCUCAGAGCUGAACUUCAGUCACUUUCCCGUCUCCUUAGAGGAAUCCCGAAGCUAGACACACAUGAAGUGUGCAUUUAUGAUCAGAACAACAAGGCUGUCAUCGGGAAGGCAGAGAAGAACUGACAGUAAAAGCAAAGGGGAGUGCUAAUGCUAGUUAUUAAAGGUUCAGGCUGCAGCUGCUCAGAGGGAUGUUGUGGACAGAGUCAUGAAAACAAGGAAAUGUCAGCUACUGUACUCCGUCCUACAGGUUAAAUGAGACCCUGCUGACAGCCUGUUUAGGACUUGGUGUGCAUUUCAGUUCAAGCUGUUGUAGUGGAAACAUGAUUUCAGGAAACUGUUCUAUUUACAAUAUUGUUAUAUAAAGUAACUAUGACAUUUGGAUUAGUGCAAUGUAAAGGACCUAUAUCAUGCAAAAUCAACUUUUUGAGCUUUGAAGUGUAUUAUGAUGUUAAUUUCACACUAUAAACAACCUCAAAGCAAAAUGUGUAUCCAUUCACGCAUUUGUGAGCAUUUCUCUAAAAACUAGCGCUCUGAGCACAAGCCCCUCCCAAUCAAUGAAAAUGAGUGGGUCCUCACACUGUGACGUCACAAAGUGAAGAACCGCCCCUUCCAGGAAGAGUCUGUACUACCAGCUCCGCCCCAAGGCUAACAGACACACCCACUUUCUGAGUGGAGCUAGCGGUGAUCGGCUGAAUGCUUUCCUUUUAAAUGAACAAUCUGCACAUCCAUCUUUGCAAAAGUUCCGAUGUUGUUCGUUUUCGUGUGCAAAGCGCAGACACGCUGCCAAGGGCGUCUAUAGGAUGACGUCAUGAAAUGGCCACAAGGAGUGAAAGGCGGAGCCUCCAAGAUCAAGGCGUCUUACGGCGUUGGAAAAUAAGCAGCGCAAACAAUGAUGGAUAAAGUUUACUCUGAAAGGCUUAAGAAAAUCAGGAUAUAGUCC
rnacentral:lncRNA from 1 species